rnacentral:lncRNA from 1 species
AUUAAUGCAAAAUAAUGCCACUUGAUUAGUAUAGUAAUAUAAUAGUUUAAACUUGGAUUUCAUUUUUUUUAUAUGAAUUAAAUAAGAUUUUUCUCAAAAUCACAAAAAUUAAAAUCAAAUUUUAGUCUAAAAUGACAAAAUCGCAAUAAUAAAUGCACACAAUAAUUUCUGAAUUUACAGAGAAAUAUUAUUGGUGAGUCAGGUGAUGCCCUUCUUUGUCAGCUUAACCUGCACACAAUAAAUGAUGUAUGAUAGCAUUAAGAUGGUUCAUUAGUGAAGUACAUUUAUUUUCCAAUACAUUGUAAAUUGUAAUGGAUUACCCAGUCACACAAGUAGAAAUUGCCAUCCUUUAUACAGAAAAAGAUGAAUGAAAUAUGCACAUUAUUACUAUCCUUAAGCUGAUGAAGAAAGGCAUAACCUCUUAAGCUUCAUCAUUACCUAUCAUGUAUUUGCC